GUGAGGAAUAUUGGUCAAUGGGCGAGAGCCUGAACCAGCCAAGUCGCGUGAAGGAUGACUGUCUUAUGGAUUGUAAACUUCUUUUGUAGGGGAAUAAAGAGGGGCACGUGUGCCUCAGUGAAUGUACCCUACGAAUAAGCAUCGGCUAACUCCGUGCCAGCAGCCGCGGUAAUACGGAGGAUGCGAGCGUUAUCCGGAUUUAUUGGGUUUAAAGGGUGCGUAGGCGGCCUGUUAAGUCAGCGGUGAAAUCUAGGGGCUUAACUCCUAAAUUGCCAUUGAUACUGGUGGGCUUGAGUGUAGAUGAGGUAGGCGGAAUGCGUGGUGUAGCGGUGGAAUGCAUAGAUAUCACGCAGAACUCCAAUUGCGAAGGCAGCUUACUAAGGUACAACUGACGCUGAAGCACGAAAGCGUGGGUAUCAAACAGG
rnacentral:rRNA from 1 species